rnacentral:rRNA from 1 species
GUGGGUAGUUUGACUGGGGCGGUCUCCUCCCAAAGCGUAACGGAGGAGCACGAAGGUUAGCUAAUCCUGGUCGGACAUCAGGAGGUUAGUGCAAUGGCAUAAGCUAGCUUGACUGCGAGCGUGACGGCGCGAGCAGGUGCGAAAGCAGGUCAUAGUGAUCCGGUGGUUCUGAAUGGAAGGGCCAUCGCUCAACGGAUAAAAGGUACUCCGGGGAUAACAGGCUGAUACCGCCCAAGAGUUCAUAUCGACGGCGGUGUUUGGCACCUCGAUGUCGGCUCAUCACAUCCUGGGGCUGAAGUAGGUCCCAAGGGUAUGGCUGUUCGCCAUUUAAAGUGGUACGCGAGCUGGGUUUAGAACGUCGUGAGACAGUUCGGUCCCUAUCUGCCGUGGGCGCUGGAGAAUUGA